GCCUUUUUAAUAUCAAGCAAACCUUUUGAAUUCGUGAAUAAAAUUCUUAUUGCAAACAAAAAUGAUAUUGAAAGCAAAACAUUAACCCACAAGUGUUGAGGUCAAAUAAAUAACAUAACAAGGAAAUCAUUUUGAAAGGYAAGAACAAAUAAAUUGUAAAUGAAUGAGAAAAAAAUGGUUUUCAUUUAAACAUUUUCAAUGAUUGCGAAAAAACGCACGUUACCCUGCCCGCCCUUUGUUUUAGCUGCCUUUUUUUUGCGUUUUCAAAGUUGGCACAUUCAUUCCAUAUAGGCGGGGUUUAAAGGGAGGCGUAGAAGAUGCGUCUCUAUUGGUCAACUGGUUUUGGAAUGACAGGUCAUCCUUGAUUUGUUUUCACUAUUUUUUAAACGUAUUUAACUUUUCCAUUUCAGAUAAAAAGGUCUCAGUGGCUACUAGCUAGCUGGCCAGCGUAAAAUGUACGACAAGGACAUCGCAAAACAUCCUAGCACUGAGAUGCAGUGCCUUAGACCGCUGCGCCACUCGGGAGCCUGACACAAGCGGUUCUGGCUGAUGACCUGUCUCCAUAGCUGAGAGAAGCCACGGUGGAAUAUCACUUCRUUCCCAACAAUACUGCUAAUAUUUCUGUACCGAUGAGAAAGAGCAGGGCAGACUUAUACAAUUACAAUACAGAAAUGUUCUUGCUCUUUAGUGAAGUUCUGCCAAUCAUAUGUUGGAAACCAUUAUCAAGGAAAACUAGUUGAACACUUUUUGUGGAAAUUUUWAUCUGUUUCUUGAACACCAGUGAUUCAUCUAAGGACAAUAACUCUUGCCUGUAGGAAAAUGUCUAAAUGUACAAUAAGGGGUAUAUCCUUAAUAAAAGAAUUGAUGGUUAA